UACAUCAUUUUAAUUUUAUAAAAACUAGGCAUAAACUAGCCACGCUAUUGGCUAAAUUAUGAAACUUUUGCCGCGAACAGUCGCAGAAGUCUAAUGUAGUACCGUUUUCUGCGUCUGAAGCCUGAACAACGCAUGGUUAAUAAUUCAUUACCAGGCUAUGGUGGUAUCUGACGCGUGGAUUUGUAGGAAAUUUUAUAUGAGAAUAAUUAGUUUUUUGUUGGCAGCUAUUGUCGAUUUAGAUGUUUUAUUUAAUAAAAACGUGUUUUUGUACCUAAAAUAUACUGUUUCAUGUUACAGGAACAUCAGAAAAGCUCUGGAUGCCAUGUCUUAUGGAGCAUUCGUCAUAUCAACUGUUUUUCAGGAUGUAGCGGUAUCUCGACGGAGAGUAAAAGUGCCUUUUUCCACGAGAAACGGAGACAGUGUGUUGGUGUUGAUAGCGGAAGGAUUUAUGACAAUGAAUCAAUUAGCCAAUAAAUGAGAGAAAAUGGGAGUUAAUUGUAAUGCUGGCUACUCAAACACCUCGUGACUACCAUGGUAUCGUUUUCCCUGGAUUUGUUCCAUGAUUUGUUGUUAAUAUCUUGCAACAUCAUGCAGUUAAUUUUCGACCGAUGAAUGAAUGCAACUGCAAAUUUUGGAUCUCACUGAAACAUGAAUUGUACCGUUUUUUCCUGCAUUUGGUUUACUUUUCACACCUGUAAACUGGAACGUUAUAUUCUGCAACUAAUUAAGAUCGACGAUGGAGAUGACAAGGAACACCCUGUAGUUAAAAUACUUCUUUAUCUUGCAUGCUCUAUCCAUUAGAAUUAAU